GAGCUCGCUUCGGCAGCACAUAUACUAAAAUUGGAACGAUACAGAGAAGAUUAACAUGGCCCCUGCAUAAGGAUGACACGCAUCGUGAAGCAUUCCAUAUUAAA